rnacentral:rRNA from 1 species
UACGUAGGGUGCAAGCGUUAAUCGGAAUUACUGGGCGUAAAGCGUGCGCAGGCGGUCGUGCAAGACAGAUGUGAAAUCCCCGGGCUUAACCUGGGAACUGCAUUUGUGACUGCAUGGCUGGAGUGCGGCAGAGGGGGAUGGAAUUCCGCGUGUAGCAGUGAAAUGCGUAGAUAUCAGGAGGAACACCGAUGGCGAAGGCAGCUCUCUGGCCUAUAACUGACGCUGAGGUGCGAAAGCGUGGGGAGCAAACGGG